rnacentral:rRNA from 1 species
AGAGUUUGAUCCUGGCUCAGAAUCAACGCUGGCGGCGUGCCUCAGACAUGCAAGUCGAACGCGAAAGUUCCCUUCGGGGAGCAAGUAGAGUGGCGCACGGGUGAGUAACACGUAGGUAAUCUACCUUUGGAUGGGGAAUAACCCCGAGAAAUCGGGGCUAAUACCGCAUAAUGCAGCGGCACCUAAUGGUGACAGUUGUUAAAGCGGGGGAUCGCAAGACCUCGCGUCUAAAGAGGAGCCUGCGGCGGAUUAGCUAGUUGGUAAGGUAACGGCUUACCAAGGCGAUGAUCCGUAGCCGGCCUGAGAGGGCGGUCGGCCACACUGACACUGACAUACGGGUCAGACUCCUACGGGAGGCAGCAGUCGGGAAUUUUGGGCAAUGGGCGAAAGCCUGACCCAGCAACGCCGCGUGAAGGAUGAAAUCCCUCGGGAUGUAAACUUCGCAAGAACGGGAAGAAUAAGUAAGGGUUAAUAUCUCUUACGAUGACGGUACCGUUUGUAAGCUCCGGCUAACUCCGUGCCAGCAGCCGCGGUAAUACGGGGGGAGCAA